rnacentral:tRNA from 1 species
AGGGGGAAGGUGAUCCUAAAAGAAGCUGCUAACUAUCUUUUAAAGCGGUUUAAUUCCGUUUUCCCCUUU